AUAUCCCAAUGGUAAAUUAAUUUAGACAUUAGGGUUUAGAGUUAAAGGGUGGGGUUUAGGAUUUAGGGUUUAUGGUUUAGGGUUUAGAGUUAAAGGGUGAGAUUUAGGAUUUAGGGUUUAGGGUUUAGGAUUUAGGGGUGAGGUUUAGGGUUUAGGAUUUAGGGUUUAGGGUUUAGAAUUUAGGGUUUAGAGUUUAGAGUUUAGGUUUUAGGGUUUAGAGUUGGGGAAUGAGAUUUUGGGAUAAGAUUUCAAAUUUUGAAAAAUAAAAAAAAUUUAAAUUUUUCAAAAGAUAAAAUGCUAUUUUGGUCAUUUUAGUUUUUAAGGGCUAUUUUUGUGACAUAAACUUAG
rnacentral:lncRNA from 1 species